rnacentral:rRNA from 1 species
CGGACGGGUGAGUAACACGUAAGGAACCUACCGAUAAGCGGGGGGGACAACAUCCGGAAACCGGUGCUAAUACCGCAUAGGAAGUUUUGUUCGCAUGAACAAACUUAGAAAGAUGGCUCUGCUAUCACUUAUCGAUGGGCCUUGCGGUGCAUUAACUAGUUGGCGAGGGUAAACGGGCUCACCAAGGUGAUGAUGCAUAGCCGACCUGAGAGGGUAAUCGGCCACAUUGGGACUGAGACACGGCCCAAACUCCUACGGGAGGCAGCAGUAGGGAAUCUUCCGCAAUGGACGCAAGUCUGACGGAGCAACGCCGCGUGAGUGAAGAAGGUUUUCGGAUCGUAAAACUCUGUUGUAAGAGAAGAACAAAUUGUAGAGUAACUGCUAUAGUCUUGACGGUAUCUUACCAGAAAAGCCACGGGCUAACUACGUGCCAGCAGCCGCGGUAAAU